rnacentral:rRNA from 1 species
UACGUAGGGUGCAAGCGUUGUCCGGAAUUAUUGGGCGUAAAGAGCUCGUAGGCGGUUUGUCGCGUCUGCUGUGAAAACCUAAGGCUCAACCUUGGGCUUGCAGUGGGUACGGGCAGACUAGAGUGCGGUAGGGGUGACUGGAAUUCCUGGUGUAGCGGUGGAAUGCGCAGAUAUCAGGAGGAACACCGAUGGCGAAAGGCAGGUCACUGGGCCGCAACUGACGCUGGAGGAGCGAAAAGCAUGGGGAGCGAACAGG